AGUGAACGCUGGCGGUAGGCCUAACACAUGCCAGUCGAACGGCAGCACAGUAAGAGCUUGCUCUUACGGGUGGCGAGUGGCGGACGGGUGAGGAAUACAUCGGAAUCUACUUUUUCGUGGGGGGUAACGUAGGGAAACUUACGCUAAUACCGCAUACGACCUACGGGUGAAAGCAGGGGAUCUUCGGACCUUGCGCGAUUGAAUGAGCCGAUGUCGGAUUAGCUAGUUGGCGGGGUAAAGGCCCACCAAGGCGACGCUCCGUAGCUGGUCUGAGAGGGUGAUCAGCCACACUGGAACUGAGACACGGUCCAGACUCCUACGGGAGGCAGCAGUGGGGAAUAUUGGACAAUGGGCGCAAGCCUGAUCCAGCCAUACCGCGUGGGUGAAGAAGGCCUUCGGGUUGUAAAGCCCUUUUGUUGGGAAAGAAAAGCAGCAGGUUAAUACCCCGCUGUUCUGACGGUACCCAAAGAAUAAGCACCGGCUAACUUCGUG
rnacentral:rRNA from 1 species